rnacentral:rRNA from 1 species
CCUACGGGAGGCAGCAGUGGGGGAUAUUGCACAAUGGGGGGAACCCUGAUGCAGCGACGCCGCGUGGGUGAAGAAGCGCCUCGGCGCGUAAAGCCCUGUCAGCAGGGAAGAAAAUGACGGUACCUGAAGAAGAAGCCCCGGCGAACUACGUGCCAGCAGCCGCGGUAAUACGCAGGGGGCAAGCGUUAUCCGGAUUUACUGGGUGUAAAGGGGGCGCAGACGGCGAGGCAAGGCAGGUGUGAAAGCCCGGGGCUCAACCCCGGGACUGCUCUUGGGACUGGGUGGCUGGAGUGCAGGAGGGGCAGGCGGAAUUCCUGGUGUAGCGGUGAAAGGCGUAGAGAUCAGGAGGAACACCGGUGGCGAAGGCGGCCUGCUGGAC